AACUUUCGAUUGGUAGGAUAGAGGCCUACCAUGGUGGUAACGGGUAACGGGGUGUUAGGGCACGACACCGGAGAGGGAGCCUGAGAAACGGCUACCACAUCCAAGGAUGGCAGCAGGCGCGCAGAUUACCCAAUCCCGACACGGGGAGGUAGUGACAAUAAAUAACAAUACGGGGUUCUUUCGGAUUUCGUAAUUGGAAUGAGUACAAUUUAAAUCUCUUAACGAGGAACAAUUGGAGGGCAAGUCUGGUGCCAGCAGCCGCGGUAAUUCCAGCUCCAAUAGCGUAUAUUAAAGUUGCUGCAGUUAAAAAGCUCGUAGUUGAAUUUCGGGACCAAUAUGUCGGUCGUGCCUCGGUACGUACUGGCAUCGUUGGUUUCUCCCUUCUGACGAACCAUGAUGUCAUUUAUUUGGUGUCGUGGGGAAUCAGGACUGUUACUUUGAAAAAAUUAGAGUGUUUAAAGCAGGCUCACGCUUGAAUUCAUUAGCAUGGAAUAAUGAAAUAGGACGUUUGAUUCUAUUUUGUUGGUUUCUAGGGUCGACGUAAUGAUUAAUAGGGAUAGUUGGGGGCAUUAGUAUUCAAUUGUCAGAGGUGAAAUUCUUGGAUUUAUUGAAGACUAACUACUGCGAAAGCAUUUGCCAAGGAUGUUUUCAUUAAUCAAGAACGAAAGUUAGGGGAUCGAAGACGAUCAGAUACCGUCGUAGUCUUAACCAUAAACUAUGCCGACUAGGGAUCGGAUGAUGCUAAUUUUUUAAUGACUCAUUCGGCGCCUUACGGGAAACCAAAGUGUUUGGGUUC
rnacentral:rRNA from 1 species